AUUGAACGCUGGCGGCAGGCCUAACACAUGCAAGUCGAGCGGAUGAAGGGAGCUUGCUCCCGGAUUCAGCGGCGGACGGGUGAGUAAUGCCUAGGAAUCUGCCUGGUAGUGGGGGAUAACGUCCGGAAACGGGCGCUAAUACCGCAUACGUCCUGAGGGAGAAAGUGGGGGAUCUUCGGACCUCACGCUAUCAGAUGAGCCUAGGUCGGAUUAGCUAGUUGGUGGGGUAAAGGCCUACCAAGGCGACGAUCCGUAACUGGUCUGAGAGGAUGAUCAGUCACACUGGAACUGAGACACGGUCCAGACCCCUACGGGAGGCAGCAGUGGGGAAUAUUGGACAAUGGGCGAAAGCCUGAUCCAGCCAUGCCGCGUGUGUGAAGAAGGUCUUCGGAUUGUAAAGCACUUUAAGUUGGGAGGAAGGGCAGUAAGUUAAUACCUUGCUGUUUUGACGUUACCAACAGAAUAAGCACCGGCUAACUUCGUG
rnacentral:rRNA from 1 species